rnacentral:rRNA from 1 species
UACAGAGGGGGCAAGCGUUGUUCGGAAUUACUGGGCGUAAAGGGCGCGUAGGCGGCCUGUUAAGUCGAACGUGAAAUCCCCGGGCUCAACCCGGGAACUGCGUCCGAUACUGGCAGGCUUGAAUCCGGGAGAGGGAUGCGGAAUUCCAGGUGUAGCGGUGAAAUGCGUAGAUAUCUGGAGGAACACCGGUGGCGAAGGCGGCAUCCUGGACCGGUAUUGACGCUGAGACGCGAAAGCCAGGGGAGCAAACGGG